rnacentral:rRNA from 1 species
UGGCGCACGGGUGCGUAACGCGUAACCAACCUACCCUUGACUGGGGGAUAGCCCGCCGAAAGGCGGAUUAAUACCGCAUAAAACCACAGUGUGGCGUCACAUAAUGGUUAAAGAUUUAUUGGUCAAGGAUGGGGUUGCGUGCCAUUAGCUAGUUGGGGGGGUAACGGCCCACCAAGGCGACGAUGGCUAGGGGAGCUGAGAGGCUGGUCCCCCACACGGGCACUGAGAUACGGGCCCGACUCCUACGGGAGGCAGCAGUAGGGAAUAUUGGGCAAUGGCCGAGAGGCUGACCCAGCCAUGCCGCGUGCAGGACGAAGGCUUUCUGAGUCGUAAACUGCUUUUGCCAGGGAAGAAUAAGGGGGAUGCGUCCUCCGACGACGGUACCUGGUGAAUAAGCACCGGCUAACUCCGUGCCAGCAGCCGCGGUAAUACGUAGGGUGCGAGCGUUAAUCGGAAUUACUGGGCGUAAAGCGUGCGCAGGCGGUGAUGUAAGACAGUUGUGAAAUCCCCGGGCUCAACCUGGGAAUUGCAUCUGUGAC